AGUGAACGCUGGCGGUAGGCCUAACACAUGCAAGUCGAACGGCAGCACAGUAAGAGCUUGCUCUUACGGGUGGCGAGUGGCGGACGGGUGAGGAAUACAUCGGAAUCUACUUUUUCGUGGGGGAUAACGUAGGGAAACUUACGCUAAUACCGCAUACGACCUACGGGUGAAAGCAGGGGAUCUUCGGACCUUGCGCGAUUGAAUGAGCCGAUGCCGGGUUAGCUAGUUGGCGGGGUAAAGGCCCACCAAGGCGACGAAGCGUAGCUGGUCUGAGAGGAUGGGAGGCCGCACUGGAAGGGAGACGCGGGCCAGACUCCUGCGGUGGGCCGCAGGAGGCAAUCGUACGCAAUGGGCGGAAGCCUGACGGAGCCAUGCCGAGUGAGUGAAGAAGGUCUUCGGAACGUACAAGCCUUUUAUGAGGGAAGAACAAAUGUGGAAGUAACUAGGCCCGUCUUGACGGUACCUAAUAAGAAAGCCACGGCUAACUACGUG
rnacentral:rRNA from 1 species